rnacentral:lncRNA from 1 species
GGAAGGAAACUGGUCCUGUUAAAACUUAUUUUGAUUUGAUUUCAUGAAAGAAAAGAUCUGGAAAAAGAUAGGAAGAUGCUUUGAACCUCUGUAUUGAAUCUUGGCAUUCCUCUUGGUGAAAAUGCAGCCCCUUCUACCGGGAGGUCUUGCUGCUCCUCAGAUCUUUUCUUGCCCAAAGCUUCAGCCAGACAAGCCUUAGUAUUCACUGCCAUUCAAUCCCUGAGGAUGAACGUGGGUUCUCUAAUUAAAAUUCAAUUUUUUUACCAGUGCUAACCUCCAGCCUGCUUGUUCCAUUUCUAGAUUGCCUGUUAAAUAACAACAAUUUUCAAAGAAAAAUGUUGACUUUAAUCAGAGAAAAUACAGGACACUGAUUGUUGGGCUCCAGCCAUGGCCUUCAAUCAGCGGCUAUUAGUAAGUGUUUUGAGAGGCACCUUUGAAUUGGUCUCCCUGGAACUCAAUGUCUAUUUUAUAGACUGUUUGUUUGUUUCAGGAUGCAUCUAACAAAAAUAUUUUGACUUAAGGCCACUCUUUGACAGAAACACAG